CAUAAAAAGGAGUACAAAAAAAAAAAAAAAAAGGAGGAGACGUAAACACUUUCUUGGAGACAGUGACAGUCACUUUAAUAUGCAUUUCCACUGUGUUCCGUAGAGAGAAAGUAGAGGAGGCUGACGCUGCGGGCUUGUUUGUCCAUCCGUUCCUGCAUCCCUUUAAAGCAUCUGCUCUGCCUUCAGAGGACUCAGUAGCGCUGCUCGACUCAGAUGGGAGGAUGUGAUCAGACGUCAGGGGAAGUUUCCCGGAAAAGGCUUAAACUACUAGAAGCCAUUAUUCAAGGAAAAUGUGAGAUCUUUUUCUUUAGAGGUUAAGACAGCUCGUUUCUCUGAAGUGAUCUCAUUGUGUUUGUUCCUGAUAGUAUGUGACUGCCCUAGAAGUUUGCUGAUGGCCUCUUCUGGUCCUGAGAUCAGAUGAUUCUAGACUGAUAGGAGCAAAGAUCUAGAGGAGUGCUUUCCCAGGCAGCGUUAAGGCAUUACUCCCUCGUGUUUUCUAGUGCUAAUGGCGGCAGUUCUCUCAGAGAAAGGGGGCCAGGCCCCACAUAGCCCGCAUGACUGAUGCCCACCUUGGUUGUGUUCAGAUCCUUCAUCCUUUUUAAGGAUAGCUUUGGCCUCCGAUGGGCCAGGCUCUCCACUCUUCUUUGGGAUUGCCCACACCAUCGUGCCAUUGUUUGGCUCCUCCUGAGCAGGGCUCACACUUCAUCAAGUCAUAACUAUUUUCUAUUUUCAGGAGAAAAAUGGACAGUGCCUGAAAUAUGAUCAUUGUCUCUAACAUGUCCAACAGGCUUGGGAGAAAACGCCAGGGCUUCCCCCUUCUUCACUCCAGCCACAUUGGCUUUUUCCUGGUUCUUUCCCGAAUGUCCUUUCUCAGGCCAAAAUGCUCUCCCCCGGCUGGCUCUUCAAACAACUGGCUUCUUCUCCCUCAGGUUUGGGCUCAGCUGCUGUAGCCUCAGAGCAGCGAGCCCUGACUUCAUGAUCUACAGGAGCACCUUGCUCGUUUACUGAGGUCUAACAGCACGCUUCUCAUUUCCUUUUUAGCAACUCCCUCAAUUUGAAACGAAUUAACUAACUUUACACAUGCGCCUGCACGUGCAAAAACAUUGGUACAUACUUUGCAUGUAUAUGUUUGUCUACUUAUCGUUGGUCUCCUUCACUAGACUCCAAGGUCCCUGAAAGCAAGGAAUAUGUGCGUUUGUUUCAUAUCCAGAGUUAAGCACACAGUAGGAGACCUCUGUACAUUCACUGAAUGAAUGAAUGAAUACCCAUAAGCCCCUCACAAGGGAACACUGAAGCUCCAUGGUCUACACCUGAGCUGUCCAGCACGGCGGCCACCACCACAGGUGGCCACUGGGCACUUGAGACAAGGCUCACCCAAACUGGAAUGCACCAGAAGUGUAAAAUAUCCCCCAAACUUCAAAGAGUUAGUACAAAAAAGCAUGUAAAAUAUCACAUUAAUAAUUUUUAGAUUGAUUACACAUUUAAAUAAUAUCUUAGAUAUAUUGAGUUAAAUGAAAUGUAGAAUUUGGUAUUAAAAUUAAUUUCAUCUGUUCUUUGUACUUCCUUCAGUGUGGGUGCUAGAAGACAUGAACUCGCGUAUGUGGCUCAGGCCGUAUUUCUGCUGGCCAGCGCCGGCCAGUCCGCUGCGGGAGUGCUCAGGAAGUCAAGGUGUUACCUCUAGAUGUUGUUUAAUCAGUUAAAAGAGUAACUUCUCCCCCGUAUUUACUGACUAGGACUCGAGUCCUGGGUUUGCCUAUAACUCACUGAGGGUUCAGGCCUGAGUCACCUUCUCCAGGGACCCUGGUUCUCUUGUGUGACAAAGUAGCGACUGAAUUAGACUGUGUCAGAGGAUCCUUUCAGCUCCAACACUAUGCGAUUCUGCCAUUAAUUGCCUAUUCAGGGUAAGGACAGCAGAGAAAUCUUCUUCUGGGACUGAUAUAUUUUAUAACCCCUGUUCCCUUUUCCUUAUCUUGGCCUUCAAAUGUCCCCUUUAUGUAAACACAGUCAAAGAUAAAAUUUAACAAAACCUCUGUUUUCCUGGACUCAAUGUAGCCAAAGCUGCUGCAAAUAAUAAUUUGUUAAUCAGACUCAAAGAGGUGGUUUAGCUGGAUUUCCAGAGCUGCCUUCAAGGAAGCUGCUGAUUUUUCCGCAUGUGUUCACAGACACCAGGCGCUGGGAGGCCUGACGCGCGGCAUCUUGUCCAUCUGGCCAUUGGAGCUCCAUGCUGCGACGGCCGCGCAGAGGAGCUGGGUCCAGAGCGCCCGGCGCAUCUGCCGUAUCGCGGACUCGACGCCAGCAUCACUGCUGCAUGGAUUCAGACUGGGAUAGACUGCUCCCGAAAUUUGACUUGGAGAAGAAAGCGUGACGUGCACUUCCUGUGUGUGGCAGUCCGCGAGCCGUCCCCGGGCGCCCUCCUCCCGCCUCCACCACUUUGCGCCUGGCUUUCUCUUUGCCCGGAGGAGCCCUCCUCCCGCCUCCACUGGUGAAAUCCUCCUCCGUCCUCACUGCCCAGUUCAAGUCCUCGUCCUCUUUCCGGGCUUCCUGGUUCUCCAGAUGGGAAAAGAGGUGCUCCUAAUCCACGCUCUCGCAGGAGAAGCAGAGCAAGCGCGCAGGGAGUGCUGACUGUCCAUGAGACAUCAUCGGGAUUUCUAGCUGGCGUUUCCUAGAAUCACCUUCCAAAUGAACCACCUGUACUUGAAUGGUGGUUUGAGCGCUGGUGUCUGGAGGAACCAAAACUAAGACAAUGGCUGUAUCAAGAGUCUGAAGAAUGAAGUCAUGGUCGGAGUCUGAGUCAUGCUUCAGAACUGUUUACUGAGAGAAAAGUGCUUCUGAUGGAAGCUCACGCACCAGUGAGGUUGGGGAGCACGAGAAAGUGAGAACAGAAUGGGGCUGAAGGAAAGGACAGGAAAGGAGAAGGGGUUACUUCAACAAGUUGGUUCUGCCGGAGGCUCAGGAACGUGGAGAAGCAGUUUGAGGUGUGCAGAGGAGAAAUGCACAGAAGGCCAGGAAGCCCGACACUAGAUCACUGCCUCCUGGGAAAUCAUGAAAUCUGAUUAAAACAGACACCGUAAGGGCUCUUUUUGUGCUAUGCACUUUUCUUCCUGGGGAAUUUGCAUAUUCCCUGAUAAAAAGAUAGAUAUAAAGUGUCCUGAAGAAUAUUAAGAAGUAAACCGUAGUACAACGCCUUUAGUUUUGAAUAGUAAGAACUCUGUUUCCUCAUUUCCUUUGGAAAUCUAACAAAAUAUUCCUUAUGAAAAAUUUUUGAGGAUAAGCACUUAAAAGACAUUGCUACAAGCUGUGCUCCUAAUGUUUUCUUAUCAUUUUUUACCUACAUGGAAAGCAUACAGAUCACCAUGACGGCCCCGUAGCUGCCAAGUGAAAGGGUGUUAAGAUGAUUUUGACCCUCUACAUUGAAUGUGCUGUCAUCUUUACUGUAAAAGAAAUUACCUAGACUCAAAUCAUUAUCCAGAAGUCACUAAAUCUUUUGACAUAAAAUGGCAAAAUCUUUUAAGAAUAAAUGAUAUAGCAAGACCAAGGAUAAACUGAGUUCAACAAAAAUCAAUUGCUGUGAAAUCUAGUUUGUCUAUUUUGAUUUUGUCUAUUUCCUUGUCUUUCUCCUGGGGAGAGGAGCAGAUUUUGUACCUAAACCAAAGAUGGGGACACCACUGGUGAAGCCGUUCUUUUGUCUUCUUCCCGCAACGCAUGCCUCUGCUUGAACCUCUUCCCUCCCAGGUCUGAGGUGGGAGCUUGGGGACCCCAGGGUCCUAAGGGAAUGACAAUUGUGGCAUUCAUCUCUGGGAGGACAGGGGG